GGAAUUAUUGGGCGUAAAGCGCGCGUAGGCGGCUACUUAAGUCGGAUGUGAAAGCCCUUGGCUCAACUGAGGAAGUGCACCCGAAACUGAGUGGCUUGAGUACUAAAGAGGGUCGCGGAAUUCCCGGUGUAGAGGUGAAAUUCGUAGAGAUCGGGAGGAACAUCUGUGGCGAAGGCGGCCAUCUGGACCAGCACUGACACUGAGGCACGAAAGCGUGGGGAGCAAACAGG
rnacentral:rRNA from 1 species